GCCGGGAAAGGACAGCUUGGACCCAGAGGGAGUUGCCUGCGUCUGGGCCGCGGGGGAGCAGCAGGCCGGCCAGGCGGGGCCGGACUUACAGAUGGCUUGGUGGAUAAGAACUCCGGCUGCUCUUCCAGUAGACCAGGGGCUGAGCCUCAGCGCGCACGUGAUAGCUCAUGACUGACUGUGACUCCAGUUCUAGGGGACCCAACAACUUUUUCUGGCAUAUUUGGGGACCAGAAACACACGUGGUGCACAAAACAUACACGGAAGCAAAACACUCACCAUGCAGAAAUAAAAAUCUUUUGUUUGUUUCUGU